CGGAGGUGGAAGUGCCUGGCUUAACCUUCAGUUACUCUUUCUAUAGUUAGUCCAAAGAGGGAGAGAGGAAAGAGGAGAACAUGAGGAGAAAGUACAAGAUCAGGAAGAACCAGACGAGUGAUCCAGAGUUUGUCCUGAAAUAAGAGCUGAACAUUUAGGUCCAAACAUCACAGGAACAGUCAAACUGUUAAAGGAGGAAACUACGGUGGCCUUGAGAGGCCAAAUGGAGUGCAACUUAAGAAAACACCAACAAUAAGAAAAACGCUGCUAAAGCACACAAAACACAACAGAAAUAGGAAAAAACAGAUUUCCAAAAGCACACGGGAAGUGUUUCUGGGGAGACAAUAAC
ensembl:lncRNA